rnacentral:miRNA from 1 species
UACCUCAAAUAACCACAACAGUCUGUUUCAUCCGUAUAGGACCUGAUGAUUCCUAUACGGAUGAAACAGACUGUUGUGGUUAUU